CAUUCUACUUUCCGUCUCUAUGAAUUUGACUACUCGAAGUACCUCAUGUGAAAUGUUGGUGCCAAAUGAACUUUUCUGGUUCUUCUGAAUAUGCCACUGUUGCUGGAGAAAUGUCACUGCUAGAGAACAGAAGACUAUUAUUCCAAAGGGUAUUUGAGACUGACUGAAUCAGGUCUGGAACAUUAUUGAAAUGAGACCCACAAAAGAAGAGAUACUGAGUGUAACUGGAUCUUGGUUCAUGCUGAGCUUAAAAUUUGAUCUUCUGAAUAUCAGCAGAAAGACUCUUUCUGGUGAAUACAGAUCUUCUGAGCAAUUAUCGACUGACUUUGUCAUUAGACUGCCCUUUCAGAAGUUGUCAGUGACAUGAAUCUUUGCUCCCUUCUUCAUGGAAUAUUUCUGAUCUAAUAGCCCCUAUAUUUCAAAAGAUGGAUAUAAACAUCAGAUGAAUAUCACAGGAAAGCUGGAUUGCUCUGCAGUGAGUGAAACGUGGAAAGGCCUUUCCCCACCAAGCAGUAGGCCAAAUUGUAACAGUAAGAUGUAUUUGAAAUAAAAUGGUUCAUAGAUCA
rnacentral:lncRNA from 10 species